ACCGCUCGCCGCGCCCGAAUCGUGCCAAAUUGGUAGUGAUCUCGGGGCGGGGCGUGACAUGAGUAGUCUAAUGUUGUUCCGGUUUUUGUUCUUGUGAACAUUGACAUCGAUUCGUUCCAAAUUUACACUCUCGGGGCAUAAUAGAACAAUAUAAUUAGGUUUUACGCUUUAUUAGAUAGAAUGAGAAAAAGUACCCGUUGCAAAGUUAUACUGUUAGGGUGCAACUGAGUAGUCUAAUGUUAUUCUGAUUUUUAUUCUUGUGAACGUUGACAUCGAUUCGUUCCAAAUUUACAAUCUCGGGGCAUAAUAGAACAAUAUAAUUAGGUUUUACUCUUUGUUCGAUAGAAUGCGAAAAAGUACUCGUUGUAAAGAUAUACUGUUAGGGCGCAACUGAGUAUUCUAAUGUUGAUCUGGUUUUGGUUCUUAUGAAUGUAGACAUCAAUUCAUUCCAAAUUUGCACUCUCGGGGCAUAAUAGAACAAUAUAAUUAGGUUUUACACUUUGUUCGAUAGAAUGAGAAAAAGUACUCGUUGUAAAGUUAUACUGUUAGGGCGCAACGAAGUAUUCUAAUGUUGUUCCGGUUUUGGUUCUUGUGAACGUUGACAUCGAUUCACUCAAAAUUUACACUCUCGGGGCAUAAUAGAACAAUAUAAUUAGGUUUUACUUUUUGUUCGAUCGAAUGAGAAAAAGCACUCGUUGUAAAGUUAUACNGUUUUUGUUCUUGUGAGCGUUGACAUCGAUUCGUUCCAAAUUUACACUCUCUAGGCAUAAUAGAACAAUAUAAUUAGGUUUUACGCUUUCUUCAAAAAAAUGAGAAAAAUUACUCGUUGCAAAGUUAUACAGUUAGGGCGCAACUGAGUAGUCUAAUGUUAUUCCGGUUUUUGUUCUUAUGAGCGUUGACAUCGAUUCGUUCCAAAUUUACAAUCUCUGGGCAUAAUAGAACAAUAUAAUUAGAUUUUACGCUUUCUUCGAUAAAAUGAGAAAAAGCACUCGUUGCAAAGUUAUUCUGUUAUGGCGCAACUGAGUUGUUUAAUGUUGUUCCGGUUUUUGUUCUUGUGAGCGUUGAUAUCGAUUCGUUCCAAAUUUACACUCUCUGGGCAUCAUAGAACAAUAUAAUUAGGUUUUACGAUUUUUUUUAUAAAAUGAGAAAAAUUACUCGUUGCAAAGUUAUACUGUUAUGGCGCAACUGAAGUGCCUAAUGUUGUUCCAGUUUUUGUUCUUGUGAGCGUUGACAUCGAUUCGUUCCAAAUUUACACUCUCUAGGCAUAAUAGAACAAUAUAAUUAGGCUUUACGCUUUCUUCGAUAAAAUGAGAAAAAGUACUCGUUGCAAAGUUAUACUGUUAGGGCGCAACAGAUUUGUCUAAUGUUGUUCCGGUUUUUGUUCUUAUGAGCGUUGACAUCGAUUCGUUCCAAAUUUACACUCUCUGGGCAUAAUAGAACAAUGUAAUUGGAUUUCACGCUUUUUUCGAUAAAAUGAGAAAAAGCACUUGUUGCAAAGUUAUUCUGUUAUGGCGCAACUGAGUUGUUUAAUGUUGUUCGGAUUUUUGUUCUUGUGAGCGUUGACAUCGAUUCGUUCUAAAUUUACACUCUCGGGGCAUAAUAGAACAAUAUAAUUAGGUUUUACGCUUUCUUCGAUAAAAUAAGAAAAAGCACUCGUUGCAAAGUUAUACUGUUUGGGCGCAACUGAGUAGUCUAAUGUUAUUCCGAUUUUUGUUCUUAUGAACGGUGACAUCGAUUCGUUCCAAAUUUAUAAUCAAGGGGUAAAAUAGAACAAUAUAAUUAGGUUUUACUCUUUGUUCGAUAGAAUGCGAAAAUAUACUCGUUGUAAAGUUAUACUGUUAGAGCACAACUGAGUAUUCUAAUGUUGUUCCGGUUUUGGUUCAUAUGAAUGUUGACCUCAAUUCAUUCCAAAUUUGCACUCUCGAGGCAUAAUAGAACAAUAUAAUUAGGUUUUACUCUUUGUUCGAUAGAAUGAGAAAAAGUAAUCGUUGUAAAGUUAUACUGUUAGGGCGCAACGAAGUAUUCUAUUGUUGUUCCGGUUUAGGUUCUUAUGAACGUUGACAUCAAUUCCUUCCAAAUUUA
rnacentral:lncRNA from 1 species